CCAAUAUCAAAUUGUUCAGCUUUUUAGGGAGAAGUGUGCUAUUAUUUUUCUCAUUCAUAUGUUUUAUAUUUUUCAAGUUAUUAAGCUUUUUUCAACUUUUUUCCCCAUUGAAAUGAAUAGAAGGAUUUCAAAUCCUCUUCAGCUUUGUCUACUUUCAGCUUUAACUACUUCAACACACUUUAAGCUACAGACACUAUUUAAACUACAAAACAAUCUUCAACUAUUCAACUAUUAAUGUCUUGUUUAGCAUUUUGAUAUCUUUAACAGAUUCUGAAUUAUAGCAGUUUAAGCAUAGGGGGGUUUUUGAGGAAUUCUCAGCUUUUCCAUUAGUGUGUAUUGCAUCUAAUUGAGUGGGGGAUGCCACAGCUAGAGUGAAGAGAGACGCUUUCUUACGCCAUAACUUUUCUCUUUAACUCGUCACUACAGCCACAGUUUUCACUCUAUCAACGUAUUUUCUUCACUAGUUUGUAGUCACACUUGUAUUCUUACCAACGAUGUGCCUGGCUAAGCCAUCAAAACUAUACUUUAGUCUGUAUCUGCCUCAAAGCACAGAGAGUUCCAGAAAUCCUCCCAUUCACUCCAAUGGAAAACACUCUCUGACAUCUGGGUAAAAUCACAGAGGGACAGGCAUUUUUAAAUCGCGACUGUGGCCACAAUUUUCAAUCCUCAAGCAUAAAACGCACACCAGGUGAUCAUUGAAGCCUUGGGAUUCAUAAAGUGAAGUUAUUUUUGUGAUAAUCUUUAUGGUUUUGGUGUAACAAGCCUUUUAAGCUGGGAUGGAAAUCAGCCUCACUCCAGCUCUUUGUGCUGAUCAGUGGAGGUUCCUGCCUGCUCCAUGGCAACGGCGCAGCUGCAGCAGAUAAGGGAUUGAUCUCAGUAGCACUUUGACUUACUUACUCCUAAUGCUCACAGCAGCUCUAUGCAUAUUAUUGAUGAGUUCAUUGCAUUGUUGAUUCCCCAUAAGAGAAGGUGUAGACAUUAAGCUUUUUUAAACUACCUGGGGCCCGUUUCAAGAAGGAGGUUUAACAAACUCUGAGUUAAAACGAAACUUUGAGUUGAUUUACUCUGAGUUUGCAAACCUGGAGUUUUCGGUUCCAGAACAGCUGAAAAGAGUUGGUUUAGGCAGCUCUGAGUUGACUGACUCAGAGUUAAGCGCGUGCACCGCGACGAUACAAAGCCCUGAUCAAUGGAGUGAAGAUAUUACGAGUCACCAUGGCAACAGGACAACAAAAUACGUCCGGAAAUGGAUAUGAUACCUCAAGCAUAUAACGACUACGAGUCUAUAUUCCGUAGAAAAGGCAACACGGCUGCAGCGGCGAAAGAGAAAGAAUUAGCUUGGAAGAAAAUAGCUCCUCGAGUCAAUGCGUAAGUUUACAAUUUAAUCAUACAGUGUUCAGCGUAACUAAAUACUAAAUAAUUUUAGUAUUGUUGUUAUAUUUCACUCGUAAAGUAAGGACUUGUAAAGUAAUUUUUCACUCAUCUAAGGAGUUACUUCAAUAAUUGCAUAAAAUACCGAUGUUUGUAUGAAUUAAAAGUGCAGUGUUAUGUCUAUGCAUUUUUUAAAUUCCUGUUGUGGUUGAUGUGGGAUUUGUAAAGUAAUGAUAAUUCAAUAAUCCAAUACGUUUUAUGGAGAGCAAUUAUUACAUUAAUCUAAUUAGGUUUUUAAAAGUUACCCAAAACACGUAAUAAUAUAAGAAAUUUAUUUCAGUUUUUAUGUAGACGCAAUCCUGCAGUCAUAAAAGAACAUGGCUAAAAAUGAAAUGUAAAAACAUAAUUCAAACAGUUAUAAGGCACCAUCAUGUCAUGGGUGUAGACUACCUGACUUUACAAUAUUUGACAUAUUAAAUAACUAAAUAGCAUGCAGAGUAUAGCAGUGCAGCAGUAUUUUCAACAUGGCUGUAAUGUUUUCACACAGUUAAAUCAUUUGACUUCUACUCAGCCAACAGAAAGAAGGCAGAGACUUGAACAACUGGUGGAGGACCUGCACCUCAACCACUAACGCAUGCAGAGGAGAAGGCCCUCAGCAUGAACACUGGAAAGCAGGGGCUGAAGGAAUUCCUGGUGGGAGUUCAUCAGAACCAGUCACUCCCCAGGAUACAAGUGCAUGUGUAAAAUAUUCUGAUGGUAAUAUGUGAAUCCUCCUGUCACAACAGAAGCCCAGGAUGUUAGUGUGAAAGAACAGCAGGAGGAGGUCAGUCACAUUCUGCUGCACAGAUGCACACAGUUCAGUGAUGUUCAGUAAAUGCCAGAGUUCAAUUCUAUAAGAGUAAUGGGGAACAUGUCAUGUCACGAUGUCAUGUAACGCUAAAUCUUCUGUAUUUUAAGUUACCGGUUACAGAGUUGUAUAAACGUAAUCUCAAGGAAAUGUUAUACUUGAACCACAAGAUUGAAAAGCCAGAUCUAGAAAUUGAAAUUCCCAAACACAAGCUGGAGAUGAGUGUAUAGUUAAGGGUGAAUUGUAUGAAUUAUUGGAAGAACCAUAAAAUCUAACAAUUGCCUUUGUAUUUGUAGGAAAUGAAAAAAAAAAACAAAUAAAUUAUGAUUUACAUCUAUUCAGUUUAUUUUAUUGGUGGUGGUGGUGAUGGUUGAUUAAGACAUUAAAGCAAAUCUGUCCAUCCACUCUGCAGAUUACUGUAAUGGAAGGAGUCUUCCUCAGGGUCUUGUAUUUGUAGGGCAGGGUCAGUAGUGUGGGCUGCCAUUAACCCUUAUCUCCAGCAGAAAGCCGUCAAUCUCUCCUAGAAGAAAGUUCACAUUACUUUAGUGCUGCAUAGAAGUGUUCCUGUGAGUGUGAGUGCAUGCAUUGAAAUAAGU